ACCCUCCUCAACUCACAAGGUGAC
rnacentral:rRNA from 1 species